rnacentral:rRNA from 1 species
AUGCGCAAAGAUAAACCAGAAUAUGUAAUGGGGAUUGGUUAUCCACUUGAAAUUGUAGUACGCAGGGCUUCGGGUGCAGAUCUGUAUGACUAUGUCUAUCCAACACGCACUGCUCUCUUUGGGUCUGCACUUGUAGGAAAAUCUGUUCCCGACGGUUCAAUGCAAUUCAAGCUAGAGAACCGUGUUCUGAAGCUGAAACAAAAUGCAAUGGUAAUUGAUGAACGGCCCAUUGAUCCUUCCUGUCCAUAUAUGGGACAAAUGGAAAAAGUAGCAAGUCCACAAGUUGAUGUAAGAUGUUCAAGUGACCGCUUUUGUUUAACAUGGUUGGCACAUUCUGUUCAUAUGGAAGGUGAUGUGAGCUUGGUGGUCAAAGACUUGGUCUCUUCCGUAAUAUUUUGUAGUACUCGAGUGAUCAAACAAUUGGUCUCUUAG